AUUGAACGCUGGCGGCAGGCCUAACACAUGCAAGUCGAGCGGAUGAAGGGAGCUUGCUCCUGGAUUCAGCGGCGGACGGGUGAGUAAUGCCUAGGAAUCUGCCUGGUAGUGGGGGAUAACGUCCGGAAACGGGCGCUAAUACCGCAUACGUCCUGAGGGAGAAAGUGGGGGAUCUUCGGACCUCACGCUAUCAGAUGAGCCUAGGUCGGAUUAGCUAGUUGGUGGGGUAAAGGCCUACCAAGGCGACGAUCCGUAACUGGUCUGAGAGGAUGAUCAGUCACACUGGAACUGAGACACGGUCCAGACUCCUACGGGAGGCAGCAGUGGGAAAUAUUGGACAUGGGCGAAAGCCUGAUCCAGCCAUGCCGCGUGUGUGAAGAAGGUCUUCGGAUUGUAAAGCACUUUAAGUUGGGAGGAAGGGCAGUAAGUUAAUACCUUGCUGUUUUGACGUUACCAACAGAAUAAGCACCGGCUAACUUCGUG
rnacentral:rRNA from 1 species